AUUGAACGCUGGCGGCAUGCCUUACACAUGCAAGUCGAACGGUAACGGGUCCUUCGGGAUGCCGACGAGUGGCGAACGGGUGAGUAAUAUAUCGGAACGUGCCCAGUAGUGGGGGAUAACUGCUCGAAAGAGCAGCUAAUACCGCAUACGACCUGAGGGUGAAAGGGGGGGAUCGCAAGACCUCUCGCUAUUGGAGCGGCCGAUAUCAGAUUAGCUAGUUGGUGGGGUAAAGGCCUACCAAGGCAACGAUCUGUAGUUGGUCUGAGAGGACGACCAGCCACACUGGGACUGAGACAUGGCCCAGACUCCUACGGGAGGCAGCAGUGGGGAAUUUUGGACAAUGGGCGCAAGCCUGAUCCAGCAAUGCCGCGUGCAGGAAGAAGGCCUUCGGGUUGUAAACUGCUUUUGUCAGGGAAGAAAUCUUCUGGGCUAAUACCCCGGGAGGAUGGCGGUACCUGAAGAAUAAGCACCGGCUAACUACGUGCCAGCAGCCGCGGUAAUACGUAGGGUGCGAGCGUUAAUCGGAAUUACUGGGCGUAAAGCGUGCGCAGGCGGCUUUGCAAGACAGAUGUGAAAUCCCCGGGCUCAACCUGGGAGCUGCAUUUGUGACUGCAAGGCUAGAGUACGGCAGAGGGGGAUGGAAUUCCGCGUGUAGCAGUGAAAUGCGUAGAUAUGCGGAGGAACACCAAUGGCGAAGGCAAUCCCCUGGGCCUGUACUGACGCUCAUGCACGAAAGCGUGGGGGAGCAAACAGGAUUAGAUACCCUGGUAGUCCACGCCCUAAACGAUGUCAACUGGUUGUUGGACGGCUUGCUGUUCAGUAACGAAGCUAACGCGUGAAGUUGACCGCCUGGGGAGUACGGCCGCAAGGUUGAAACUCAAAGGAAUUGACGGGGACCCGCACAAGCGGUGGAUGAUGUGGUUUAAUUCGAUGCAACGCGAAAAACCUUACCUACCCUUGACAUGUCAAGAAUUCUGCAGAGAUGUGGAAGUGCUCGAAAGAGAACUUGAACACAGGUGCUGCAUGGCCGUCGUCAGCUCGUGUCGUGAGAUGUUGGGUUAAGUCCCGCAACGAGCGCAACCCUUGUCAUUAGUUGCUACGCAAGAGCACUCUAAUGAGACUGCCGGUGACAAACCGGAGGAAGGUGGGGAUGACGUCAGGUCCUCAUGGCCCUUAUGAGUAGGGCUACACACGUCAUACAAUGGCCGGUACAGAGGGCUGCCAACCCGCGAGGGGGAGCCAAUCCCAGAAAACCGGUCGUAGUCCGGAUCGUAGUCUGCAACUCGACUGCGUGAAGUCGGAAUCGCUAGUAAUCGCGGAUCAGCUUGCCGCGGUGAAUACGUUCCCGGGUCU
rnacentral:rRNA from 1 species